CCCUUAGAUGUUCGGGGCCGCACGCGCGCUACACUGAAGGACUCAGCGUGUCUCUCCCCCUAUCCCGAAAGGGAUGGGCAACCCGUUGAACCUCCUUCGUGCUAGGGAUUGGGGUUUGCAAUUAUCCCCCAUGAACGAGGAAUUCCCAGUAAGCGCGAGUCAUCAGCUCGCGUUGAUUACGUCCCUGCCCUUUGUACACACCGCCCGUCGCUACUACCGAUUGGAUGGUUUAGUGAGACCCUCGGAUCGGUCCCGACUCGGGGUGGGCUUCUGCCCCGGUCGUGGUUUCGCCGAGAAGACGGUCAAACUUGACUAUCUAGAGGAAGUAAAAGGCGUAACA
rnacentral:rRNA from 1 species